AGCGAACGCUGGCGGCAGGCCUAACACAUGCAAGUCGAGCGCCCAGCAAUGGGAGCGGCAGACGGGAGAGUAACACGUGGGAACGUGCCCUUUGGUUCGGAAUAACUCAGGGAAACUUGAGCUAAUACCGGAUAAGCCCUUACGGGGAAAGAUUUAUUGCCAAAGGAGCGGCCCGCGUCCGAUUAGCUAGUUGGUGAGGUAAUGGCUCACCAAGGCGACGAUCGGUAGCUGGUCGAGAGGAUGACCAGCCUCAUUGGGACUGAGACACGGCCCAAACUCCUACGGGAGGCAGCAGUGGGGAAUAUUGGACAAUGGGCGCAAGCCUGAUCCAGCCAUGCCGCGUGAGUGAUGAAGGCCUUAGGGUCGUAAAGCUCUUUUGUGCGGGAAGAUAAUGACGGUACCGCAAGAAUAAGCCCCGGCUAACUUCGUGCCAGCCGCCGCU
rnacentral:rRNA from 1 species